rnacentral:tRNA from 1 species
GAGGGUAUAGCUCAGUGAUAGAGUGCAGACCUAGCAUGCAUGAGGUCCUGGGUUCAAUCCCCAGUACCUCCU